AGUUCUAGAUUUCUUUUGUUUUUCUACAGUCAUUACAUGAGACAGAUACUGGAAGCUCUACGCUAUUGUCACGAUAAUAACAUAAUUCACAGGGAUGUGAAGCAUCCGUAGGUACAGAGCUCUUCUUCUCUCAAGAAAUAACAUCAAAGGCCUGGCUUCUUCAGUGGACUUUAAUGGUUAAGACAAUUAAGUAGAAUUUAAUUAAAUUUUCUAUAACAUCUGAGAAAUUUUAACUGAAAUUCUGGUGGUUAAAAGCUGAGGGAAAGCAUGAGCAAUUCCAAACCCAUCUGGUGGAAUGUUAUAAUAGCAAUGAAAAAAUCAUUGGA
rnacentral:lncRNA from 1 species